rnacentral:miRNA from 1 species
UGACCAUGGUGACGAGUCGAGCCC